UGCAGUCGAGCGGUAACAUUUCAAAAGCUUGCUUUUGAAGAUGACGAGCGGCGGACGGGUGAGUAAUGCCUGGGAAUUUGCCCAUUUGUGGGGGAUAACAGUUGGAAACGACUGCUAAUACCGCAUACGCCCUACGGGGGAAAGCAGGGGACCUUCGGGCCUUGCGCUGAUGGAUAAGCCCAGGUGGGAUUAGCUAGUAGGUGAGGUAAAGGCUCACCUAGGCGACGAUCCCUAGCUGGUCUGAGAGGAUGAUCAGCCACACUGGGACUGAGACACGGCCCAGACUCCUACGGGAGGCAGCAGUGGGGAAUAUUGCACAAUGGGGGAAACCCUGAUGCAGCCAUGCCGCGUGUGUGAAGAAGGCCUUCGGGUUGUAAAGCACUUUCAGCGAGGAGGAAAGGGUGUAAGUUAAUACCUUACAUCUGUGACGUUACUCGCAGAAGAAGCACCGGCUAACUCCGUGCCAGCAGCCGCGGUAAUACGGAGGGUGCGAGCGUUAAUCGGAAUUACUGGGCGUAAAGCGUGCGCAGGCGGUUUGUUAAGCGAGAUGUGAAAGCCCCGGGCUCAACCUGGGAACCGCAUUUCGAACUGGCAAACUAGAGUCUUGUAGAGGGGGGUAGAAUUCCAGGUGUAGCGGUGAAAUGCGUAGAGAUCUGGGAGGAAUACCGGUGGCGAAGGCGGCCCCCUGGACAAAGACUGACGCUCAGGCACGAAAGCGUGGGGAGCAACAGGAAUAGAU
rnacentral:rRNA from 1 species